GCUUUUCUCCGGAGUGGUGCCACAUGUGAUUACUCAGACCUGAUUUAAGUCUGAAACUCUUUCCGCACUGCGAGCAGAGCCAGAGUUCCUCUUCUGAUGAUGGGAAUAUUGCAAACCUUCAUUGGUGGACUGUUGUGGGAUGGGCACCAGAUCUACCAAAAACAGAAACAAUUUACACUGAAUUACUUUCAUUUUAGAGACUCACUCCAUAUUCAAUAAAAAAAUAAAAUUAUUAAAUAAUAUUAAAAUUAA